AUGAUACAAUAUAAUUUUUCCCCCAUCAAAUCUACUAAUAAACAACUUAAUAAAGACUUAUUACUGUUGAAUCAAGUCGAAAAGAUCCAACAAACACACACGCCGACACGAAGCACUCGCCUGCCACACCACCUUGUUCACCAUCGCCAUUGCGAGAUCCGUCGAAAAAGCAUCAAAGCACCGCCACUCGUAAAUCACUGUCGCUGUCAGUAA